UAACUAUAUUUACUCCUUAGCUGUGGGAAUGCUUAUCCUUCCUUUAGGAUUCCAUUUAUUGAGCAUUGUGUGAGACAUCGGAGGAGAACAAAGAAGCUAGUGAACCCUUAUCCACUGUGUCAAAACCAAACAUUUUUAUCCCCUUGCGUCUCAGUCCAUAUUUUCGUUGAUCCGUUGUUGUGGCCGGACCUCCACCCCAUAGAAAAUUUAGGAAAUCGGUAAGGCACCAAAAGGUGACCUGGCACCCUAAUCUUACCGCUGCUUUAAUGCGUAUGGAAAGAAAGUAAUAACUGAACAAGUACGAAGAUGUGUUUAUCAAUUAGUCUCCAGGAAAGUCAGGGUGGGUACAAGCUCCGAGCCAUAUCCCAUUAACUUAAGUCUCAAAAAGCUGCAAGGAAUGCUAAAUGACGAGUUGGCCAUGGACUGUGAUUGCUUCAAUUUCGUUGUACAUAUAUCCAAGCAGUGAAAAAAAAGAAAAGGAUCGAUAUGAAAGCAUUAUCUUGACAUGCAAUUUUGGGGAAUUGUCUGGUUAUCUUGUUACCCUCCUCUUGUCCACAUGGGAUGACAAAAUAGUGCAUUUGCCAUUUUUAAAGGAUGGAUACGAACUCAGAAAACAAACUUUGGGAAAGCUACUAACAUUCAAGGAAAAUGAUGCGAAGUCAACAUAUCUGUCGGUGUACUGGCUUUCAUCAAUUGUAUCAGGAAAAAUCAAAACAAUAUGAAUAUGUGAAGAACUGAGGAUCAAAACGCAACAAAGACCAAUAAAGAAACUGCAUCUCCAACUCUAUCUCCAGUUGCUGCUUCUCAACUGCCUCCACACUUUCAGAGGAUGUCACAGACUCGAAAUGUUUAGUUUGUCUUGCUUUCAGGAACUACAUAUGUUUAGCCGAUUGUGAUGAACCUCCAGGUACUUUUGACUUGGAGUGAGA